AGUGAACGCUGGCGGUAGGCCUAACACAUGCAAGUCGAACGGCAGCACAGUAAGAGCUUGCUCUUACGGGUGGCGAGUGGCGGACGGGUGCGGAAUACAUCGGAAUCUACUUUUUCGUGGGGGCUAACGUAGGGAAACUUACGCUAAUACUGCAUACGACCUACGGGUGAAAGCAGGGGAUCUUCGGACCUUGCGCGAUUGAAUGAGCCGAUGUCGGAUUAGCUAGUUGGCGGGGUAAAGGCCCACCAAGGCGACGAUCCGUAGCUGGUCUGAGAGGAUGAUCAGCCACACUGGAACUGAGACACGGUCCAGACUCCCACGGGAGGCAGCAGUGGGGAAUAUUGGACAAUGGGCGCAAGCCUGAUCCAGCCAUACCGCGUGGGUGAAGAAGGCCUUCGGGUUGUAAAGCCCUUUUGUUGGGAAAGAAAAGCAGCAGGUUAAUACCCCGCUGUUCUGACGGUACCCAAAGAAUAAGCACCGGCUAACUUCGUG
rnacentral:rRNA from 1 species